rnacentral:rRNA from 1 species
GGAACCGUACCCCAAACCGACACAGGUGGUUAGGUAGAGAAUACCAAGGCGCUUGAGAGAACUCGGGUGAAGGAACUAGGCAAAAUGGCACCGUAACUUCGGGAGAAGGUGCGCCGGCGAGGGUGAAGGACUUGCUCCGUAAGCCCAUGCCGGUCGAAGAUACCAGGCCGCUGCGACUGUUUAUUAAAAACACAGCACUCUGCAAACACGAAAGUGGACGUAUAGGGUGUGACGCCUGCCCGGUGCCGGAAGGUUAAUUGAUGGGGUUAGCGCAAGCGAAGCUCUUGAUCGAAGCCCCGGUAAACGGCGGCCGUAACUAUAACGGUCCUAAGGUAGCGAAAUUCCUUGUCGGGUAAGUUCCGACCUGCACGAAUGGCGUAACGAUGGCGGCGCUGUCUCCACCCGAGACUCAGUGAAAUUGAAAUCGCUGUGAAGAUGCAGUGUAUCCGCGGCUAGACGGAAAGACCCCGUGAACCUUUACUAUAGCUUUGCACUGGACUUUGAAUUUGCUUGUGUAGGAUAGGUGGGAGGCUUUGAAGUGGGGACGCCAGUUCUCAUGGAGCCAUCCUUGAAAUACCACCCUGGCAACUUUGAGGUUCUAACUCAGGUCCGUCAUCCGGAUCGAGGACAGUGUAUGGUGGGUAGUUUGACUGGGGCGGUCUCCUCCCAAAGAGUAACGGAGGAGUACGAAGGUGCGCUCAGACCGGUCGGAAAUCGGUCGUAGAGUAUAAAGGCAAAAGCGCGCUUGACUGCGAGACAAACACGUCGAGCAGGUACGAAAGUAGGUCUUAGUGAUCCGGUGGUUCUGUAUGGAAGGGCCAUCGCUCAACGGAUAAAAGGUACUCCGGGGAUAACAGGCUGAUACCGCCCAAGAGUUCAUAUCGACGGCGGUGUUUGGCACCUCGAUGUCGGCUCAUCACAUCCUGGGGCUGAAGCCGGUCCCAAGGGUAUGGCUGUUCGCCAUUUAAAGUGGUACGCGAGCUGGGUUUAGAACGUCGUGAGACAGUUCGGUCCCUAUCUGCCGUGGACGUUUGAGAUUUGAGAGGGGCUGCUCCUAGUACGAGAGGACCGGAGUGGACGAACCUCUGGUGUUCCGGUUGUCACGCCAGUGGCAUUGCCGGGUAGCUAUGUUCGGAAGAGAUAACCGCUGAAAGCAUCUAAGCGGGAAACUUGCCUCAAGAUGAGAUCUCACUGGGAUCUUGAAUCCCCUAAAGGGCCGUCGAAGACUACGACGUUGAUAGGUUGGGUGUGUAAGCGCUGUGAGGCGUUGAGCUAACCAAUACUAAUUGCCCGUGAGGCUUGACCAU